rnacentral:rRNA from 1 species
GACGAACGCUGGCGGCGUGCUUAACACAUGCAAGUCGAGCGGUAAGGCCCUUUCGGGGGUACACGAGCAGCGAGCGGGUGAGUAACACGUGGGUGACCUGCCCUCAGCUCUGGGAUAAGCCUGGGAAACCGGGUCUAAUACUGGAUAUGACUCCAUGACGCAUGUUGUGGGGUGGAAAGCCUUGUGCGGCUGAGGAUGGGCCCGCGGCCUAUCAGCUUGUUGGUGGGGGAUGGCCUACCAAGGCGACGACGGGUAGCCGGCCUGAGAGGGCGACCGGCCACACUGGGACUGAGACACGGCCCAGACUCCUACGGGAGGCAGCAGUGGGGAAUCUUGCGCAAUGGGCGAAAGCCUGACGCAGCGACGCCGCGUGAGGGAUGACGGCCUGGUGUAAC